AUUGUGACAGAGUGGAAAGGGAAAACGCGUUGCCGCAGUCGAUUUGCAAGCUUCAUAGUGACUAGUCGCGCGUUGAAGGAAAUUGUUGAAAAGCGUAGUCAGUAAAAGUAUCCCCUAAGUGAUCAAAUAAAAACGCUAAGGUUCAAGUUAAUUAAUUCGUCGGAGUCGAGAAUAAUCAGAAACAAGUGCUUAAAAAAAAGCUGAAACUGAAAAAACACGCUUUUUCGUCGAAACUACUAACACAUUAAUAAGGAAGAAGAAGAACAAAUUAAUUAUCAACGUUCUCCCUUCUGGUUCAUCUGAAUCGUGAUAAGCUGUAAUCGCAUGCCGUCUUCCUUUGGACAAUUGUAUAAAAAUAGCAUCAAAGUUUAUUCAAUAUCGUCACCAUGGCUGGAAUGAUACAAAAACUUAUAGCAUGGUAUAAAUAUAUUAACUACGAUUUGGCGGAUCCACGUACCAAAGAUUAUUUACUAAUGAGCACGCCAUGGCCUGGCCUAAUUUUAAUUGGAUUUUAUAUAUAUUUUAUAUAUAAUCUUGGACCAAGACUUAUGGAAAAAAGACAGCCUUUUAAAUUAUA